rnacentral:rRNA from 1 species
AAACUUUCCAGAGAUGGAUUGGUGCCUUCGGGAAUCUAGAUACAGGUGCUGCAUGGCUGUCGUCAGCUCGUGUCGUGAGAUGUUGGGUUAAGUCCCGCAACGAGCGCAACCCUUUUCCUUACUUGCCAGCAUUUCGGAUGGGAACUUUAAGGAUACUGCCAGUGACAAACUGGAGGAAGGCGGGGACGACGUCAAGUCAUCAUGGCCCUUACGGCCAGGGCUACACACGUGCUACAAUGGUCGGUACAAAGGGUUGCUACACAGCGAUGUGAUGCUAAUCUCAAAAAGCCGAUCGUAGUCCGGAUUGGAGUCUGCAACUCGACUCAAUGAAGUCGGAAUCGCUAGUAAUCGCGGAUCAGAAUGCCGCGGUGAAUACGUUCCCGGGCCUUGUACACACCGCCCGUCACACCAUGGGAGUUUGUUGCACCAGAAGUAGCUAGCCUAACUGCAAAGAGGGCGGUUACCACGGUGUGGCCGAUGACUGGGGUG